GACGAACGCUGGCGGCGUGCUUAACACAUGCAAGUCGAACGGAAAGGCCCUGCUUUUGUGGGGUGCUCGAGUGGCGAACGGGUGAGUAACACGUGAGUAACCUGCCCUUGACUUUGGGAUAACUUCAGGAAACUGGGGCUAAUACCGGAUAGGAGCUCCUGCUGCAUGGUGGGGGUUGGAAAGUUUCGGCGGUUGGGGAUGGACUCGCGGCUUAUCAGCUUGUUUGUGGGGUAGUGGCUUACCAAGGCUUUGACGGGUAGCCGGCCUGAGAGGGUGACCGGCCACAUUGGGACUGAGAUACGGCCCAGACUCCUACGGGAGGCAGCAGUGGGGAAUAUUGCACAAUGGGCGGAGGCCUGAUGCAGCAACGCCGCGUGCGGGAUGACGGCCUUCGGGUUGUAAACCGCUUUCGCCUGUGACGAAGCGUGAGUGACGGUAAUGGGUAAAGAAGCACCGGCUAACUACGUG
rnacentral:rRNA from 1 species